CUUUUUUUUUUCUCCGUAAAAUCGUAUCGUCCCCCGUAUUGAUCUCGAUUCUCGUAUUUAUAAUGGGAGGGGUGGUGAGAGAUAUUUUGAGGGAUUCGAAAUUCAAAAUUGAAUUUUGAAUAGGUUGUUGUGAUUGGUUGAAAGAUAUUUGGGAUUGGUUGGAAAUUCAAAAUUCGAAAUCGAAUUUUGAAUGAGUUGUUGGAUGGUUUGAGGGUAUUUUGAGGAUUGAUUCGAAAUUUGAAAUCAAAUUUUGAAUGGGUUGUUGGAGGAUGUUUUGGGAAUUGGUUGGGAAUUCGAAAUUCGAAAUCAAAUUUCGAAUGGGUUGUUGGAUGAUAUUUUGGGAAUUGGUUAGGGAAUUCAAAAUUCGAAAUUGAAUUUUGAAUAGGUUGUUGGAUGGUUGGAGGGUAUUUUGAGGAUUGAUUCGAAAUUUGAAAUCAAAUUUUGAAUGGGUUGUUGGAGGAUGUUUUGAAAAUUAGUUGGGAAUUCGAAAUUCGAAAUCGAAUUUCGAAUGCGUUGUUGGAUGAUGUUUUGGGAAUUGGUUGGGAAUUCGAAAUUCGAAAUCGAAUUUCGAAUGGGUUGUUGGAUGAUAUUUUGGGAAUUGGUUAGGAAUUCGAAAUUCGAAAUUCAAAAAUCGAAUUUUGAAUGGGUUGUGAUUUGAAAUCGAAUUUCGAACAGAUAUUUUAUAUGAUGUGGAUGUGGGCCGUCGUUGAUCAGGCCCGCUUUAAUUUAUUGGGCCCAAAUGAUAAUAUUUAAUGGGUUGGAAUGAGGCCCCUCCCUUUUUCUUUCAUUUGUAUGGGCUUUCAUGAGGCCCACAAACUCACAUUUAUGAAUGGGCCUAUUAUAUAUUUGAACUAUAAUUAUUCGC
rnacentral:lncRNA from 1 species